rnacentral:lncRNA from 1 species
GGUAAAGGUCUAAUGCCAUUACUAAGAUUUAUUCUAGGAAAAGCAUACUUCAACAAGAAAUUCUCUAAUUUCAAAUAAGCAAAGUUGUCUCCUUUGAUAAUUGAAAGUGCUGGAUUAGAGGGGAGGGGUUCUAAAAUCUAAAUUAUCCUAUUUACUUCAAACUUGUAAUUAUCCCAAGAGAAAUUUCGAAAUUAAGGCUAUUGUAUAGACUACAUAGAAAGAAAAAAAUGCUCCAUCACAAUGUAUGAACUAAAAGCCACUUAAGCAGAUUUCUGGCUAGGCCACGAAGUUAAAGUUAACUGCAUAUUAUCAGCCACAUAGAAUACACACAUAUGGCGAGCAAAAGUGCAUAUUAAUGGAGUAUAUAGACAUGGGAAGAGUACCUAAAAAAAGCGGCACGUCGCGCGUGAGAAGGUCGAGAAGAAGGGAUUUCCGUUGGGAGGCAGUGGAGGCGGAUGAUUGCUGAGCGCGUGGGAAAUAGAGGUUAUCAAGUCCUGAAAGCCUGUCUGAUAUUUUCUCCAUGGAUUGGUUACUCAAACUUCUGGCCAUAGACGUCGAGCCCUCCACUUUCACAUUUACAGAGCCCUAGAUUUUGAUUCCCUUUUGCGACCAG